UUUCGCUAUUAGAUGAGCCUGCGUGAGAUUAGCUAGUUGGUGGGGUAAAGGCUCACCAAGGCGACGAUCUCUAGCUGGUCUGAGAGGAUGAUCAGCCACACUGGGACUGAGACACGGCCCAGACUCCUACGGGAGGCAGCAGUGGGGAAUAUUGGACAAUGGGCGGAASCCUGAUCCAGCCAUGCCGCGUGUGUGAAGAAGGCCUUAGGGUUGUAAAGCACUUUCAGGAGUGAGGAAGGGUGAUUGGUUAAUACCCAAUUAUUUUGACGUUAACUCCAGAAGAAGCACCGGCUAACUCUGUGCCAGCAGCCGCGGUAAUACAGAGGGUGCGAGCGUUAAUCGGAAUUACUGGGCGUAAAGCGCGCGUAGGUGGUUUGUUAAGUCGGAUGUGAAAUCCCAGGGCUCAACCUUGGAAUUGCACCCGAUACUGGCAGGCUAGAGUACGGUAGAGGGGUGUGGAAUUUCC
rnacentral:rRNA from 1 species